rnacentral:rRNA from 1 species
UACGGAGGAUGCAAGCGUUAUCCGGAUUUAUUGGGUUUAAAGGGUGCGUAGGCGGGACUGUAAGUCAGGGGUGAAAUACUGCAGCUUAACUGUAGCAUUGCCUUUGAAACUGGCGUUCUUGAGUACAGUUGAGGUAGGCGGAAUGUGGUGUGUAGCGGUGAAAUGCAUAGAUAUACCACAGAACGCCGAUUGCGAAGGCAGCUUACUAAGCUGUUACUGACGCUGAGGCACGAAAGCGUGGGGAUCAAACAGGAUUAGAUA